UACGUAGGGUGCAAGCGUUAAUCGGAAUUACUGGGCGUAAAGCGUGCGCAGGCGGUUAUAUAAGCCAGUUGUGAAAUCCCCGGGCUCAAACUGGGAAUUGCAUCUGUGACUGUAUAGCUAGAGUACGGUAGAGGGGGAUGGAAUUCCGCGUGUAGCAGUGAAAUGCGUAGAUAUGCGGAGGAACACCGAUGGCGAAGGCAAUCCCCUGGACCUGUACUGACGCUCAUGCACGAAAGCGUGGGGAGCAAACAGG
rnacentral:rRNA from 1 species